rnacentral:lncRNA from 15 species
GAUGUUCCAGUGCCAAAUGAACAAGGAAGCCUGCUGUCUCUACUUCAGAGCAAAGCACCAGUGAUACUUGACGAACACAAGGAAAAAGGAACGCUUAAAAUAGAGACAAGGAGGCUCCUUGUCAAAGUAUGCAUCAGUCACUUGGUGGAGAAGCAUGGAUUUUACCCACCAAUUGCUGAAAAGCUCCUUUUAGCAAAGAAUAUCGUCAACACUUUCCCAUCCUUGAGGGUUCAAAUUUAAGGAAAAGGAGAUGGAUUUGUAAGUAGCAUCUUAUUGUUUCUCGAAAUUAGGGUUGUCCUGAUCAAGUUUUCCCCCUCAAAUUUUUAUAAAUUGCUGUUAUUGCCUUUUGCUUGCAAGUCUUUUGUAGUGGUGUGGUGAGUGUGUAGGCUCUCCUAGGAACAGGGAUUUGUUGUUUGUGUAGAUUAUAGAAUUUUAAGCAGCAAAAGUAUAACUUUUAUCUCAGGGUGACUUAUUGUCUACUAUGUUGUUUUUAUAACCUCAGGAGCAUUUUUUUUGAUCCAAUAUCACAUUCUGGAUUCUUGGAAAUGAGACUGCGUAACAUCCGCCGAAAGUUAGAAGCAGGUCAGCGUCGAUACACAAAGCGCAAGAUAAGCUGCAACACUGGGCCAGGCUUACAACAGGACCAGGGGGACAGCAGUGUGACCAAUGAGAUGAUCACCCUCAUGAAACGCCUACGGCCGUCUUCAGAGGCCCUUCCUUCAAUCAAAUCGGCAAUGGAGAAGACAUACACCCAGUGCAGAUCAUGGAUUUCGAAGGACACUCCCACUAUGGCUGAAAUCUUCAAUGAAUACCCACCCUUUUUGGAUGUGCCAAGUCUACUGGAUAUCGAGUUUGGCAAAAUGAUGGAAAGACGGACCUGUUUAUCAGACGAUGGGAAGCCAGCAUCAUUUCAAAGCUGAAGGCAGUGGCGGCCAAGGAAAGAGGAGAUGUUGCAUCUCUUACGGAUGGGAUGGAAGACCAAACAGAUGAUGAAAAGUGCUACACAGUGCUGGUUAUUCUCACACAUCUUCUGCCACCAAUGCCUGGGAGUCGCUGCAGUGUGAAAUCUGCAAUAUCAUUCCUACUUGACUUUGUACCGGCUGGAACCAGCAUAGCAUCCCUCUGCAGCAACCCUGAGAUGUCAUCAAGGACCCAGCCGCAGCUGAUCUGCAUUGGCAGUCUGAAGAGCACAACACAACAGUACAUCAUUAUUGGAAGGAAUGACAGAGUGACCAUUCCUGUAGAUGAUGGCCUAACAUGCGAUGCCAUGGACAAGCUAUUCAAGCUCUACUGNNNNNNNNNNNNNNNNNNNNNNNNNNNNNNNNNNNNNNNNNNNNNNNNNNNNNNNNNNNNNNNNNNNNNNNNNNNNNNNNNNNNNNNNNNNNNNNNNNNNGCACACACACACACACACACACACACACACACACACACACAGAAACAUUCCAGCAACCACUGUUAAAUGAACUGCUAUUUCACUCAGUCAGUUACUUACCUCCUUUAGUUGUUUCUUUUAUUUCAUUGUAGUGAAAUAUUUUUUGCUUCUAACAUUUUCAGCAGCCUAAAAUUAUGCAAAAAAAAGAAAAGAAGAAAGAAGGAGAAUAAAUGUAGAAACAGACUUUGACAUCCCCCAGGUGAAUACAGAACUCACAGGGGUCAGCACAACCGAAGCAAUGGCUGAGCUUCACCCUGGGUUUGAACCACCUUCUUGAUCAUGAUAUCUCACCUAUUUACUGUUCUUUGAUUGUUAUUGUGGACCUGGUACACCUUGGUCAAGGUUCCGAGCUAGCUGAUCUGAUACUAAAAGGUGGUGUGACAUUACUGCCAACCACUGAUUAGUCACAUGACAGUUGAUGUCCUGCAUAAAGCCUAGAUUUUUAAAAAGCCAAACUAUCAUUAAUAGUUAAGUUUUUUUUAUUCACUCAAAAAUGGCAGCCCACAACACCAUGCUGUGGUCAACUGACAAAGUCCAGACUUGUCCAGAACAUAGCUUCAUAUCCUCUGUUAUGAGUAGCGUAGCUGUUUAUGUGCGUAGUGUGUUGUCAGUGUGGCAGUAAAUGUACAGUGUAGCUUAGAGUCUGUCAAUAAAGAAAGGCUGCAGCUUCUCAAGACCAAAGUAAAGCUUGUUUCCCAACUUCAUUGCUCUGACAAUCACCUCUGCCUACAUUGAGGGGGUCCCAUCCAAAGUUCUAUCUACAGUGGAAAAGGAAGUCGAGGACCCAAAAGUGAAUAGAGUAGAGUUGAGCUGUACAAUGCUGACGCAUAGAGGAAGAGAAAAAGUGUCCAUCUUGUCUCAUAUGUGUCCACAUUAGUUUUGUUUUAUCUCAUGAAUAAUUUAUCUUCUACCUGUAGAUGAGGACAAGUUAG